AGUGAACGCUGGCGGCGUGCUUAACACAUGCAAGUCGAACGGAUGAAAUAAGCUUGCUUAUUUCGUUAGUGGCGCACGGGUGAGUAAUGUAUAGCUAACCUGCCCUUUAGUGGGGGACAACAGUUGGAAACGACUGCUAAUACCCCAUACUCCUUCUUAUCAUAAGGUAAGUCGGGAAAGAUUUAUUGCUAAAGGAUGGGGCUUUAUUGUAUCAGCUUGUUGGUGGGGUAAUGGCCUACCAAGGCGAUGAUGCAUACCUGGUCUGAGAGGAUGAUCAGGCACACUGGAACUGAGACACGGUCCAGACUCCUACGGGAGGCAGCAGUGGGGAAUAUUGCACAAUGGGGGAAACCCUGAUGCAGCAACGCCGCGUGGAGGAUGACGCAUUUCGGUGUGUAAACUCCUUUUAUAAGGGAAGAUAAUGACGGUACCUUAUGAAUAAGCACCGGCUAACUCCGUGCCAGCAGCCGCAGUAA
rnacentral:rRNA from 1 species